GUUGUAUGGUUAAGUGACUAAGCGUACACGGUGGAUGCCUUGGCAGUCAGAGGCGAUGAAGGACGUAUUAACUUGCGAUAAGCCCAGAUUAGGCAGUAAAAGCCACUUGAGUCUGGGAUUUCCGAAUGGGGAAACCCACUAGCAUAAGCUAGUAUCAUUAACUGAAUACAUAGGUUAAUGAAGCGAACCGGGGGAACUGAAACAUCUAAGUACCCCGAGGAAGAGAAAUCAACCGAGAUUCCGGUAGUAGCGGCGAGCGAAACCGGAUUAGCCCUUAAGCUAGUUCUGCGUUAGGUGAAGGUUCUGGAAAGGACCGCGAUACAGGGUGAUAGCCCCGUAACCAAAAAUGCAGUCUUAGUGAAAUCGAGUAGGACGGGACACGUGAUAUCCUGUUUGAACAUGGGGGGACCAUCCUCCAAGGCUAAAUACUCCUGACUGACCGAUAGUGAACCAGUACCGUGAGGGAAAGGCGAAAAGAACC
rnacentral:rRNA from 1 species